UCCCAGCCUAAUCUGAAGGAGAGAGGGUAGACAUAAAGCCCAAAGAGACUAAUUUUUCUGAGCACAGCUGAGAUAGCAUGUCUGGGAAGGUGCCUCCAUUCAGUGGCAGGAAGCACAUGGACCCCAAGCUGUGCAUAGGCAUCAAACGCACUGGAAUACUCUCCUGGGAGAGGCAGCUCCCACUUGGCCCCUUCCUGGCAGCUCUGUGAUCUGUUGCACUGGUAUCUCCUCUGAUUUUCUUUUAAGCCAAUUAUUCCUCCCUUCUUUAUCCCCAUAACCAGCUCUUUUACUUCUUCAAACAUUAAUAUGGAUGUUUUCUUGUGCCACUACCGUCCUUCAGCUUAAAUAGCUUCUCCGCGCCCAGUGUUUACUCUCCAGAUGUAUUUAUAGAGAAAAAAAUCACAUCACUGCCAGUUUGCUUUACCAAGGCUGAGCAAACCAUGUUCUUCUAUACUGCUUUUAUGCUACGUGCCCUCCGUUCACUACCUCACUCAGGAGCCCUUCUCUGCUUCUUUUUGACCUUCUUUAACGUGGAUAUCCUUCUGGCUUAGCUACCACGUGGUGAGUCACCCUGAGCAAACCAUUUCACUUUUCCUCCCUCAGCUUCCCCACAUAUAGAGAGAAGACACUCAGCCCAUCCCAUGGCAUGGGGUGGAUUAGAUAUUGUAGGAGACAUAGCAAAUUUCUCCUCCUCAGCCCUGGUCAGUUAUGGGAGCUCAAUUCAAUACUUUGUGAAUUUACAUCUCAACAGAGACAUAAACUGAGAUGUAGAUAACUGCAGGCAGCCUCAGAAUAGCAGAGUAGUCCAAGCAAGUGUAUGGUAACUCACCCAUACACCACCAAAUGCAUCCUAGGUCCUGCCAUAAACCUAAAACUGGGAGAGAAAGUAAUAUUAAAAAGGUUUUGCAGGAAAAACAGCUGUAGCUGGGAACAUAUAUGAUGCCACCUCUCCAAUCUGCUGCUGCUGAAAGGUCUCCUGAGGGUCUUACCAGUGUCCCAUAGACUGCUGUGAGUGGGACUGUAACAUCUCCCCUAGAUUUGCAUUUCUUUCUUUGGGGUCUCAUGGUUUAUCAAGGCUUUCCUGGACUCAAACUUAUAUAAUUUUCUUCCUUGGCCCUUCCCAACUGAUGAGCCCUUGAUGAAUGGUAGAACUGGCUGUCCCUAACCUCAUACUCAUGCGUCUGAGUCCUACACGCUGCACUCCUUGUCCCCCCUCCUGUGGGAUCCAAGCUGUCUUCUGCUGGGUGAUGGGCUGUGCACCCUCCAUCUGCUCCUGCUGCCUCCUGGCUUUUGACCAGCCUCAAAUGUCAUCAGCAUGACAUCGCGAAUGAAAAAUUUGUAUGGGUCACAAACCUGCUCUGCAGGGAGCUGUACUGGUACCUUCUUUCCAGUCUCCUUCUUCCCCUCCUGGCAUUCACUUCUAACUGGUUUUGGAUCCUCCCACUCCCUGCGUCUUCCUGGUUUGGUCACCAGGUCCCACAGAGCAUCAGCACCAAGACCAGAGAGGUAAGACUGCUCUGUUCCUUUUGCUUUUCUCUUUCAAAACACUUCAGACAUUAGUCUAGGAGGAUAAACCCACUUUGUGGUUUAACCCCUUUUUCUUUUGUGUCUAUGCUGUUCAUCAUCCUGUUCUUCCUACUCCUGUUUUGCACCCCAUCUGCUGAGAUGGCACAAGGAACGGAGCACACCUAAGAACUGCCCAUACAGUGGAUGCAUUUGCAUGGAUAAAUGGCCACCCUUGGACUGUUCCCAUCCAAGACAAGAAGUGUUUAAGAGGAGACCAGGACAGCCCCAAGCACCGACCAUGCUGACACAGGAAAACUCAGCUGCUUUCACCUAGAAAGUGACUGUUUGAACAGAGCAGUGCAGCACGGCUCAGAAGUGCUUAUGUCUGGAGAGUGGAUGUUUACACAGGGGAAUACUGCAUCCGCUUUGCUAUUAGAGCACAAAACAAAUGUUUGCCCAGAUCUUGCUAAGGAGCAGAUGUGACGUCACGUGAGUGCGAUCUUCUCGCAAGCAUAUAAGUUCUAAGGCAGGGUGAGUGAUGUCCCUGAGUGAAGCCUUGGUGAGAAGGACCUGCAGAUAUAUACCUUGUAACAAUUUCUGAUCACCGUGACCAAGGUCUUCUCUGCCAUGUUUUGAUUUCACUCCUGAGUAUCCGGUUUGGGACACCCCACGCAGAUGUGGAUGCUGGUCACAGGCCAACUGCUGUAGAACACCAUUUUCACCAACAGUUUAUGUCUCUGAGCUGGUAAAUCACAUUCAGGCCUAUGCCUCACUCCACACGCUGAGCACUCUGCUCCUGCAUGACCUGAGCAACCCCUUAGUGAAGGGCUUGGUUCCUCUGGAGCCAAAGGGAGCUGUCAGGUGAAAGAUUUCUUGGGGCUAUUGCAUAGAUCACAGAGCAAUCCACAGUGCUGGGUCCUUCGCCUGCAUGAGUGCUUAGCCCCUGUACCAGCAUGAGAAUAAACGUAAAUGAGUGCUGUGGAUGGAGAAAGGAGCAGAUCCAAGGUAUGUGACCCUGGAGGGGACCGAGGGUAAGCACGUGUCCCUGGCCAGUUGUUACUGACUCUUCCCCAGCUGGGGAGUGGGCUGACAGAGCAGCAUGCACACUGAUGUCUCCCUGGGCACCCUCUUGGCAGGCUGCGGGGGUCUGCUCAACUCACUGACGCUGCAAGAGGGUAGCACAACUCUGAGGCUGCCCUGGUCUCCCUGAGCUUCAUUCUGCCACCUCACUGGGGAUGACGCAGGAACACAGGAGGAAUAAUCUUUAUUUCAAGGCAGAGCUCGGAGGAAACAAAGAAUCCGGGUUUUUGGGAAAAUGGGUUGCAUAGGACAUGUCAUCACUUUCUUGUCCUGCCCUCUCCACCCUCAAGUAAACUUUGGCUGACUGUAGCAAGGAAGUUGUCCCUGGGGCUUUUUAGGUGUUGAAGUUGCUGGGUCAGAGCUGACUGUAGAUCUUGCAUCACCAGGUUUGCGGUGUGGAAGUGAGCAGCCCUGGAGUGUUGUGGUGCCAGGGGCCUGCAGGUGAGGAAAGUGCUGUCUGGGAGCAGGUGCAGAGAUUUGAGGUGUGCUCUGGGUGGAGACAGCCCUUUAUCUGAGGUAAGAGUCCUCCACAUCUUUGCUCUCAUGUUCCCCUUGUUUCUGUCCUGUCCCCAGAGAGCUUCUGAGGAAACCCAGGACUGUUGCUUUCCCAGU